GGUUGGCAGCGUGUUGCCAGAGUUGUUGAAGUGCAGCCCGUCUGCUCUGAAGAGAAGCCUCCUGUCCCCGUAAACAGUCGGACUGUCUAUGAAGCCCAAACUGUGGGCGUCACAGGCUGAGCAGAGCCAGGUGCUGAGGCUGAGCAGCCCGCCGAACCGCCCCAUUCCGCGGACACAGGUGGGAGUUGAGCCGGAGAUGAAGACACUGUGGUGGGACUGUUUCACAGACAAGACAGCGGGAAAAGUCCUGCUCAUCCAGGAUGUUGUACCUGUUACUCAGGUGGAGUUGUCAGGGAGGUGGAGAAUGUUCUUAUGGACUGUGGACCACGGCAUCAGCGCUGGACCGGAGCUGAUCGGUUUCUUCGGUGUAGCUCCCUGGGGCAGCCAGCGGCCCUCGGCCGGGCAGCUCCGGCUCCUCUUCAGCUGAGCCGGUGGCAGCGGAGAGGAGAUCCGUCCCUUCAGAUCGGUGAUGGUUUGGGUUAAGCAGAUACAUCUGUCGCACCCGGAUGGAGAGGUGAGUGGAGGCAUGUUGGGGCUGGAUAGAUCAGCUUCCGGUGGUUAGCAUGUCCGUUAGCUAGCUAGCCUACACGCUAACAAACGGAGCUAUGCUAACGACCAGCAGCAGAUGGGUAAAGUCUUUUGACCUCGUUAAACGUGAUAAAACGCCGGUUAAACAACCAGAGUCUAAAACCUGUGGCAGGAUUAUCGAACUGGUUAAAACUCGAGGGAAGUCAGGAGAGCGAGAAGCAGAGGAAUGUGUUCAUGACCUGGUGAGCCACAGUGAAAAUGUGCCACAGCUAAAAGGUGAGCAGCACAGCGUCUGAUUAGGACAUGAAUCUAAAAUGUAAUUACAGAGUGAGUGGGCCUGUCUGUGACCUGACGACAGGACUAACUAACUGCACAAUCAGUAUUCCUACGCCUUCACGCUGCACACAGGAGACAAAGCUCCUCAAAUGUGUCAAUUAACCAAAAAACCCACUAUCACGCUCCCAGUUCCUCGGGUUGUAAUGGAAUCCAUUUAUUUCAGAGAAGCUUCAGGUGGUUUCAUAUGUCUUUUCUUGUAUUUUAGUUUCACAAUCCCAGCUCUCACUUUCACACCACCACUCGUUCAUUACUCCCUCUCCCUGCAGCCAGCAGCUCUGCAGGCUGUUCAGUCAGUGAUCCGAUGUCAUUUGGGGCUAAUUGCAGCUGUAAUGAGUUUGAAUAGUUUUGUGAAACAACGGCUAAUGUACCAUAACUUCUACAGUAGUGUGUCUGUCUGCAUUAUUCAGCUGUGUCUGGCGUACACGCCGGGCAGACACCUAACUGGAAUGAGAGGAAGAGGCGUCAGUCUGCAGCCAGUUUGUCUUUGCAUUACCUUCAUUUAUUCACUCUGUGUAAAUUCAAAUGUAUUUGUCAGAGAAAGGUGCAUGUAGCUGCUGUGAAGAGUUGACAAAACGCUUAGUUUGAUGUCAAACCUUGUGCGAACUAAAGCUUCUUCCUGGAGCAACUGUUCUCAUUACUGCUGUUAAAACAGUAUCGAGCUGAGCUGCUUACGAGUCUCUUCACCAGUCGUGCCAGAUUGUAGUGAUGUAAUGAAGUAAGCCUCACUGAAGUGACCACUGCUCUAAGACUGUGUUUAACUUCACCUUUAAUUGACUUUAAUAACCUUUUAUGCCUUUUGAUCCAGAUGUGACAGCAGCAGGAUGAGUCACAAAGAAAAACAUCUGCAGAUGUUUAAAGAUAAAUCAGAUGAAUCCAUGAAGAAAAGUUCAAAUUCUGAGAAUCAGGCUCCUCCAGCUCGUCUGACUCAGGUUGUUUAAUCAUAUUUUAAAUUCUCUGACAGAUGAAUUUAAAACCAUUUUCACAGCACGCUGCUUGUAGAACAGGAGAUCAGGGACACUGAGGAGCAGCACAGUGAGACUGAUGAAUAGAAGCAGUAAAGUUGUAUGACACUGAUCAGCCUGACCAGGCUUCAGGGACACCGGGGACACUGCUGUCUGCACACACUGAAGCUAUGAGAGGAUCACCAUUUUUAAAGAAAAACCAUGUUGAGUGUUUCUAAUGGUGGCGAUGAUUCAUGAUGGAGGCGAGGUUCUCUUUCUCUUUCAUUUAAAUUUUAAUCUGUAGCUUUCCUCACAUUUUCCCCAGCUUCCCUGAAGCAGACAGGAAACUGACAGUGGAAGGAGCCGCACGUCAGCUGAAACAUGCAAUCUCUGAAAAAGUGGCAGAAAUAUGCAGAGCUGUAAAGUCACUGAUCGAAUAUGUGGAUGAUUUUGUUGAACAUGCAACAGAGCCAGACGUAACAAACAGCCGUGAACCGUCUGCGAAGCUCGAAGAGGAAAUUCAGUCUGAGACGAACUGAUCUGACAGGUGUGUCGUUCUUGAUGAAUAUGUAGAAACCGGCCGGCCCUCUUAUCGAUCAGCCAGCAGAGACCUCACAUCUCCAGGCACGAAAAUCACCAGCGACAAGGCCGAGCCGCCCACCGCACCAAUCCAUCACCUCUCAUUUUAUGACUCCCACCUCCAGAUCAAUACUGCACAGAUGGAGGGACAGACAGGAGGACAGGCAGCCGGUGAGGGACACAGGCAAAGUGGGCUCAUGGGAAACAUGCAUCCUGUCACGCAGACGUCUUGACUGUAGAUUAACGUCACCAACAGGAAGUGAUCAACAUCUGGAGGUGUCAGAGCCUAUCUGUCCGUCCUCCCUGCUGCCGACUGCUUCCUCAUGAAGAGAACAACAUCGUUUGUGUCUGACAAAAAGCUCCAGUGAUUUAGGAGCUAAAGCCUCUGCCAGAGCAAAGUCUGCACACAGAGGAAGACCGAGGGACGGCUUAUCGCAGACUGACAGGAUAGAGGAGGGACGGAUACAGAUUCAAUCCUGAGUCAACGCUCCACUGCUCAGACUCAUCCCCCUGCCGCCUGCGACCCUCUCCCUCCUCCAUCAGCCUCCUGCUCUGGUCCGUGUGGAGCUGGGAGGAAUAACUCACCGCCGGCCCACAGUAAUACCAGGCUGGUUAUCGAUUAGAGAGCCGGCCGGGGAGAGAUCAGCUUCUUCAAACACAGACAGAGAUGGAGUUGUUUUACGGGGAUGUGUUCGAGGGACAUUCACAGAGCUGCAGUGCUGUGGAAGACCUGAGGAAAUGAACCAGAGUGCAUCUGAAAUUAACUUCUUAACACUCUGGAGGUCCCGUCCUCAUGUGAUGCGUGACUUCAGAGAAGAGAGAGCCUUGAGUCGUCAAGAUGUGAGAAUUUGGUCACUUCCACGUUCACGUUCCAAGAUGUCGCCUCGUUUCCAGGGAGCCAAAGUCCUGACAUGUUAUUUUGAAUGAGGUUUCCUUCAGAAACCAAACUGAACUUUAGUCGUCAGCUCCACUGACAGUUGCUCCUGAAAUGUUCCUGUGGCAGCAGGCGGGGAAAAUAAUAAAAUGGGAAGAAAAUGACGAUGUUGGUUGGUGGAAGGACCCACAGGAGACGGUCAGAGGAAAUCCUUUACUGAGGAGUUCACAGAGUUUUCUAUGCAAAACAGAAGCUGCAGAAAACUAAAGCAACCGAGAGACUGAAAAUACUCAAACGCUGCACUGAGCGCUGCACGUUCCAAGCGAGGAGCUGCAAUGUUCUGGCGGCAGCAUCCUUCCAGCCCUCACCUUAAAUAAACCACGGAUGAGGAUCCUCCACAGGUGUCCUCUCAGCAGGACUCCACAGGUGUGCUGCUUCUCCCAUGGAGAAGAGAGAGAGAGAGAGAGAACCAAAGCACACCAGGCUCACAGCCUUCACUAUAAAAGCAGGCUGAAAAAAUAAAUAGAACACACACUCAGACAGGGCUCAGGGGGGAGGGAUCGUCACACCCAGUGGGUGGGGGGGGGGGGGGGGGGGGGUGUGAUAUGGAGGUUAAUACUCAGUGUGCUCAUGUUCAUAUUUUUGAAAUAGAGGGUUUCCAUCCACAGCGGCAGCUUUGUUUACUUUCUCCUCUGUGUCCCAGCAGAGGAAUCGUCUCUGUGCUGCGUAUCAGCGCUGCCUUAAAUCAGACAGUGAGUCCCUGACAGGUCCAUUACUGUCUGACCUUCAGAGCUUCAAACACAGAGUGAAGCAGGUGACGAGUGUGUGCUGACGGCUGACACCUCAUGCUCAUUGUCACUAAAUUUAUUAAGACUGGGAAAAAACUGAUGCUAUUAAAAUCCAUCUGAAUGUCCUGCAGUGUUUUCUGCUGUGAGGGGAGGAACGUUUCACUGCAUUACAAAGUAAAAGUCCCACAUUCAAAGGCAUCUGUAUUAGUACAAAACACCGGCACUGCUUAUUUCACUUCUCACUGUCGUUACUGGGAUUUCAUUCUUUUAUUUUGUAGUGAUUUUGUUUUCUUACAGCAGCUUCUAUAAAAGUUCCACGGCUCCACCAUUCGCUCUCAUGUCAUCAAACUCCCACCUCCACGUUUCACAGUCGGCACUGAGCCGUCACUGUGCUGGUCCUGGUCCAGGUCCAACCAAACAUGCUGGACUCCAUCAGAUCCAAACCAAUGUAUUUUGGUUUUAUCUGACCAAAGAAUGAGCUGCCGA